rnacentral:rRNA from 1 species
UACGGAGGGUGCAAGCGUUGUUCGGAAUUAUUGGGCGUAAAGCGCGUGUAGGCGGCUAUUUAAGUCUGAUGUGAAAGCCCGGGGCUCAACCUCGGAAGUGCAUUGGAAACUGUUCGGCUAGAGUUAGGGAGAGGAAAGUGGAAUUCCUGGUGUAGAGGUGAAAUUCGCAGAUAUUAGGAGGAACACCAGUGGCGAAGGCGACUUACUGGACUGUAACUGACGCUGAGGCACGAAAGCGAGGGGAGCAAAC